CCGCGGGGUCUAGUCUCCAGCAUCCGUUUCCUGUCCCAACUCGGCUCCUCGCUAGGGGCCCAUUUGAGCGACUCUGCUGUGUCCUCGCUACGGGAUCCUCCCUGGUUCCCCCUUGAAACCCGAGGCUUCUGCGGCUCCUGGAUCUCUGUCCCCAUCCGCAGACUUUGCCCCGGCGUCCACUGUGGGAUCAUCAAAGGACGGGAAGAAACUGAGGUUCAGGAAGCUUCAAUCUCAUGCUGUGGGGUCACACAGCUUUUACAUGGCAAAGGCACACCUUGAACCUGGGUCUACCACACUGACCCUCCUACAUCCUGCUCCCAGCUGGCUGUAUGGCCUCGGACAUGUCCUUCAGCAUGCCUGGACCUCUGAUGCUUCGAUUUUCAAAAAAGAGAGACAGGAAGAAUCUUGGACAGACACCCUCAAGAGUUGGGAGUAACAAAGAAGGAGAAAACAACAACAAAUUUUUGAAGAGCAGAAGCCAGAUAGUUGAGUGGUAACUGACCUAACAGAUUCAAGAACACUGACUCCUAAGCAGGUAAUGGAAAAAGCCAAGAACAGCCUGUGUCAAAUUGCGGACUUCUCACAGGGUUCAAGAAUUUGUAGUUUCAGGCAUCUCUGGCAGUUAAGGUUAAGGGAAAGCUUAAAAAAAAAAAAAAAAAAAAAAAAAGAGUGUUUAAAGCCAUUCAAGUAAUAGCUCCCUAAACUCUCUCCCCAGUUCCAUCCAUGUCACUGAGCUAUUUAUUACCCAUCCUAGCCUCAGCAGAAGACUGAAGUUUAUUCUCUAGACAGAAUAACACUGAGGGGCUCUGGACAGGUGGGACACUUGACACAGUUGGGAGUGGAGACACUAAAAACAGGAGAAUUAAGUGAUUCCAUGCAUAUUAAAUGCUGAGAACCUCAGCCCUAUUCCCUCACUCCCAGAAAGGGGGUGACCAGGCCUAUCUGUAGGGUACAAGCUUUCUCCAUGGGUUACAUCAGAAAUCUAUAGAUGCCAAUUAUCAGAGGCUGCCUAACAAACACCCCAGGCAAAUCAUCCUAUAGCAACAUCCUCUAUCACCACAGCCAGUGAGUCCCCUCACUUCACAUGGCUUUCAAUCAGUGUUUUAGUCCACCACUUGUAAACAUAAGCAGACAACCAAGGAUUAGCAGAAAUCUGAGAAAAGCCUCUAAAAUGAGACAGAGACCCCCAGAAAGGGUAGAGAGGGAGUGGCUGGGUGGCUCAGUCUGCUGAGUGUUUGACUCUUGGUUUCGGCUUAGGUCAUGAUCUCACGGUUUGUGGGU